UACAAUGAUCAAGAUGCUUUUAAC
rnacentral:siRNA from 1 species